UGUGCCCAUCGUUUACAUGACAAAGGUGGCCACGCCCACCGAAAAAGAUGGUUUCUAAAAACCAAACCAACCAAACGCUUAAUUUCUACUG